UUCCCAGUCCCCCUCAGCUUCCCAGUCCCCCUCAGCUUCCCAGUCCCCCUCAGCUUCCCAGGCCCACUCCACUUUCCACUCCCCUUCUCACCCCACCUCUCCAUCUCUUUCUGUGACCCCUUCUCCUCCUUCCCAUACCCCUUCUCCUUCAACUUCAAACUCACUUUCUCAGCCCCCCUCACCCUCUAUUGGCUUAACUUUCUCUCCGCCCCCCUCGCCCUCUCAAUCAGACCCACCCUCUGAAAUUACAUCCCCAAUCCAGCCUCCUUCCCCCAUCCAGCCUCCUUCCCCCAUCCCUCCUCCUUCCCCAAUCCCUCCUCCUUCCCCAAUCCCUCCUCCUUCCCCCAUCCAGCCGCCUUCCCCCAUCCAGCCGCCUUCCCCACCCAGUGAGUGGGCAGAAGAAGCCCCUGAUGAAAUAUCUGGCAACCAUCAUGUUGCAGAGGAAAAUGUUGCCGUUGGAGAUCCCACAUCUUUUGCGGCCAUUCUUGGGGACAUGAGGCUACAUCUACAGGCCUUGCUGGGUCUUGUUGACCAGAUGCAAACCUUGUUUUAAUUUUUGUUUAAAAAUCAAAAAUAAUUUAUGUUUAUAUUAUAAAAAAAAUAAUAAAAAAAAAAAAACUCAA